AGCAGCCGCGGUAAUUCCAGCUCCAAUAGCGUAUAUUAAAGUUGUUGCAGUUAAAAAGCUCGUAGUUGAAUUUCGGGAUUGGCGCAUCGGUCGUGCCUCACGGGGUAUGAACUGGUGCAGUCAAUUUCUCACCUUCUGGAGAACCGCGAUGUCCUUAAUUGGGUGCCGCGGGGAACCAGGACCUUUACUUUGAAAAAAUUAGAGUGUUUAAAGCAGGCAUUUUUGCUUGAAUACAUUAGCAUGGAAUAAUAAAAUAGGACGGCAUGGUUCUAUUUUGUUGGUUUCUAGGACCACCGUAAUGAUUAAUAGGGAUAGUUGGGGGCAUUAGUAUUCAAUUGUCAGAGGUGAAAUUCUUGGAUUUAUUGAAGACUAACUACUGCGAAAGCAUUUGCCAAGGAUGUUUUCAUUAAUCAAGAACGAAAGUUAGGGGAUCGAAGACGAUCAGAUACCGUCGUAGUCUUAACCAUAAACUAUGCCGACUAGGGAUCGGACGAUGUUAAUUUUUUCAAUGACUCGUUCG
rnacentral:rRNA from 1 species